rnacentral:misc_RNA from 1 species
GAUGAAGAACGUAGCGAAAUGCGAUAAGUAAUGUGAAUCGCAGAAUUCAGUGAAUCAUCGAAUCUUUGAACGCACAUUGCGCCCGCCAGUAUUCUGGCGGGCAUGCCUGUCCGAGCGUCAUUUCAACCCUCAAGCCCCAGCCGGCUUGGUGUUGGGGACCGGCCCCGGCCGCCCCCCAAAUGCAGUGGCGACCUCGCCGCAGCCUCCCCUGCGUAGUAGCACAACCUCGCACCGGAGCGCGGAGACGGUCACGCCGUAAAACGCCCAACUUCUCAGAGUUGACCUCGGAUCAGGUAGGAAUACCCGCUGAACUUAAGCAUAUCAAUAAGCGGAGGA